GUGGUGGUUCAGUUGUAGAAGUCUUACCUUCCACGUAGGAGACCUGGGUUCAACUCCCAGCCAAUGCA
rnacentral:tRNA from 1 species